GUCUUACCAAACCUAAGAACACGGCACUGACUGCCAUGCCGAUUGCACAAGAGUAGAAGGCAGCUCCGUAGUUUUGAGUCACAUCCACCAGCAAGCCUGGUAGAGGACAGAAAAGGAUUAAAAGGAAGCAUUAAAGGGGCUCUGAGAAAAUUUGGAGACUACACGUUUUCUUGUGUAAAGCUUGCACAACAAAAUGUGACAGGAAGGGUCUAAUGCAAGAAGCUACUGAGUUGCCAUAGGAAACAAAAGAUCCUGUGUUGGAGAAAGUCUUAGACUAAUGAACUGAAAACUUGUCACUGCAAGAAAACACUUACCACCAAGGGGGGGUCCAGCCAGCCCAGCAAAGCUUUGUAUGAACACAUAGACACCAGCAGCUGAAGACAUCCUCUCUAUGCCCACCACGUCAUCUUCAGCCAGGAUGGGGAUGUGAGUGCAUGCUAGUGUUCCCAUUAAGAACCCAUACAAAGCACAGCAUACAGCCAGGCCGUAGAACUCCGUGACCAAGAUGUCUGUUUUUCUUUUUCCAGCAAAGUCUUUUCCUCCGUUUCCUUCAAAGACUGGACACCAGAGUCUCCAGUGCUCACAGAGCCUCUGUGCCUCCAGUUCCUUUGAGGACAAUCUAUCAGUCUCCGCCAUAUGAGUCGCUCUGGGUUUGAUGAUGAUUGGCCGCAGAAGAGCACCACAGAUGAUGAUGAUGCUUUGCAGAGCUCCUAUCACUGCCAUGGUGUGUCGCCAGCCAAUAUGGUUCCUUAGUGCAGAAAAGGCUGAGAGGGCAAGAAGGGGUCCUGGGCCAGCAGUGUAAAAACCAACACUCCCAGUCUGGACUAAUAGAUGAUCUGCUGAAUGAGCUAAAUAGCUAACAGCAGCUACAGAUAAUAGCAAUUAGCUGUUACUUGAGAUGAAAUGGCAACCCCCAUUUGUUUUUAACAAAUUAAUUCAACGGGUGGCAAAUUAUUCAAUAAUGCCCCUUUCAGUAAAUUAUUGCAAACAGGAAAACAUUUGUUCAAAGGCUAAACAUGUAGUUGGUGUUUGUUAAAGCUAUUUUUAAAGGCUUAAUUUCUUAAAUCUGACCUGCCUGUGUUUCUCUAAGCAUUUUCUUUAGUAGUCAAUACAUAAGAUACACAAGUCCUGUGUAAAGUCCUGUCCAAAGAAUCACAAACUCAAGAACAUAUAAGAAUAGAAAAAAUAGGAUAAUUAAAAAGCAAGUAAUUUCAAGUCAGUCUUCAUUUUGAUGAAGAAAAAAAAACUUUGUUGUCUUGAAUAUGAAUGUAUUUAAUUCAUUACUGCCCAGAAAGCAACACUUCUUAGCUAUCUCAACAACAGAGUCACAUCCGUACCAGUUACCCAAAACAAGCAUAUCUCAAGACACGGAGACAAGGCCUUAUAAUCUUUCUGUCUGGACAGUAUGAAACCUAGAGCGUGUAUGAAGGUUACAGUGAUCCUUUUAAGUUAUUGAAGUGCAGUACUUUUUCCUGCCACAA